UGGAAUGGUGGAUGAAACGCCGGCAACUACCAUCUCGUUUGAGACAACGAGUCCGCCAUUACGAACGCCAAAAAUGGGCGACCUUGGGCGGAGAAGACGAAAUGGAACUGAUCAAAGACUUACCCGAAGGCCUCCGGAGAGACAUUAAACGCUUCCUUUGCCUUGACCUCAUCAAGAAGGUCCAAACAUAAUUUAACCUAUAACAUGGCAUCAUAAUUUCAACAUGUCCAUGAGCCUGAUUGCAUCAAACUCAAAUAUAUUUAUUCAAGCUUGGCCUGAUUGCUUGCAUCUCUUUCAUUUCAGGUUCCUUUAUUCCAUAACUUGAAUGAUCUUAUUCUGGAUAACAUCUGUGAUCGAGUUAAGCCGCUCGUAUUCUCUAAAGAUGAAAAGGUUUGAGCUUUACCUACCUUGUUAAAAGAGCUAUUCAAAAUUUUGUUCAUCUUGUAAUUGUUCCCAUAAAACAGAUAAUUAGAGAAGGUGAUCCAGUACAAAGAAUGGUGUUUGUCGUUCGUGGACGUAUAAAACGUAUCCAAAGCCUUAGCAAAGGCGUGGUUGCCACAAGUUUAAUCGAGUCAGGAGGCUUCCUAGGUGACGAAUUGUUGUCAUGGUGUCUUCGCCGACCAUUUAUCGACCGUCUUCCAGCCUCGUCCGCAACAUUUGUUUGUGUAGAGCCGAUUGAAGCAUUCAGUCUCGACUCAAACCAUCUCAAAUACAUUACAGAUCACUUCAGGUAUAAAUUUGCCAAUGAGAGACUUAAAAGAACAGCAAGAUACUAUUCAU
rnacentral:lncRNA from 1 species